rnacentral:rRNA from 1 species
AUGCGUGGCAUUCCUCCGCAUUCACCCCCCCACUUCGGCCUAUGGCUCAAGGUCUUCAAUGUGAAGCCGAAAGUGGUGGAUGGCCAACACGCGGAGUGUAGAGGCGCCAUGGUGAGCAAGCUUCCCAAUGUCACCUGGCCCAAGGGUACCUUCGUGGAGGCCGUGAAGGGAUGGCAGCAGGAGUGGUUCUAUGUCAUGAAACCUCGUGACUCCACAUGGGCCGCUCCUUCCGAGUUCAAGUCCGGGCCUCCAAUGCGGCUGACAUCCUGGCUCAACAAGGGCCUGGACCGGGCGUCAUCCGAUGAGGUGAUGACGCUGCAGAAGUGCGUCAAGAGUAUGGUAGACAAGAAUACCAGUCUUGCCAGCGUGAUCUAG